rnacentral:rRNA from 1 species
AGUGAACGCUGGCGGUAGGCCCAACACAUGCAAGUCGAACGGCAGCACAGUAAGAGCUUGCUCUUACGGGUGGCGAGUGGCGGACGGGUGAGGAAUACAUCGGAAUCUACUUUUUCGUGGGGGAUAACGUAGGGAAACUUACGCUAAUACCGCAUACGACCUACGGGUGAAAGCAGGGGAUCUUCGGACCUUGCGCGAUUGAAUGAGCCGAUGUCGGAUUAGCUAGUUGGCGGGGUAAAGGCCCACCAAGGCGACGAUCCGUAGCUGGUCUGAGAGGAUGAUCAGCCACACUGGAACUGAGACACGGUCCAGACUCCUACGGGAGGCAGCAGUGGGGAAUAUUGGACGAUGGGCGCAAGCCUGAUCCAGCCAUACCGCGUGGGUGAAGAAGGCCUUCGGGUUGUAAAGCCCUUUUGUUGGGAAAGAAAAGCAGCAGGUUAAUACCCCGCUGUUCUGACGGUACCCAAAGAAUAAGCACCGGCUAACUUCGUG